rnacentral:tRNA from 1 species
GGUUGCAGCUCAGUGGUACAGUACUUGCCUAGCAUGCAGGAGGUUCUGGGUUCCAUUCCCAGAACCA